AGUGAACGCUGGCGGUAGGCCUAACACAUGCAAGUCGAACGGCAGCACAGUAAGAGCUUGCUCUUACGGGUGGCGAGUAGCGGACGGGUGAGGAAUACAUCGGAAUCUACUUUUUCGUGGGGGAUAACGUAGGGAAACUUACGCUAAUACCGCAUACGACCUACGGGUGAAAGCAGGGGAUCUUCGGACCUUGCGCGAUUGCAUGAGCCGAUGUCGGAUUAGCUAGUUGGCGGGGUAAAGGCCCACCAAGGCGACGAUCCGUAGCUGGUCUGAGAGGAUGAUCGGCCACACUGGAACUGAGACACGGUCCAGACUCCUACGGGAGGCAGCAGUGGGGAAUAUUGGACAAUGGGCGCAAGCCUGAUCCAGCCAUACCGCGUGGGUCAAGAAGGCCUUCGGGUUGUAAAGCCCUUUUGUUGGGAAAGAAAAGCAGCAGGUUAAUACCCCGCUGUUCUGACGGUACCCAAAGAAUAAGCACCGGCUAACUUCGUG
rnacentral:rRNA from 1 species